ensembl:lncRNA
CAGUUAUCAUUAGGUAAAUGAUCUAGCCAGGCAACCGCAAACCAUUAGUUUCUGUGGAAACACAUCCAUCAUCAUGCCGACAGAAACAUAGCUAAUCCAGCCCCUUAGUCCUAAACAUUCUGCGUAAAAGACCAUUCGACUUUCAAGCGUUCACCUUUAUUUUCCCCUUGCUCUUCCCUCAAAUCCAGCCAUCAGUCGGUCUUAAUCAGAAGAGGGUUUAUAAGAGCUGACAAGUUAAAAAAGAUUCUUUGUUUUUUAAGCCAAGAGAGUCGCACUCAGGAACCCUCCUUUUGAAUUGCACUGAACAGCCUAUUUUCCUCUGCUGUCAGAGCCGCCUCUCGCCAGUGCUGUGCAGCCGCCAACAAACACCUUCUCUUCACUGUGCAUUUCUAAAACUGGCUUACGUGUCAUGCACUUUGAACCGCAACUUUCAAAGAAAACCUCUAGAACUGCAUCCAACUUGUCCUGGGCGCAGAAAGGCACGGUACAACAUCAAUCUGCUUGCAUACAAUGAGCAAGACACCGUCCUGAAAGCAGCAGUGUGUUGCCUUUGGUCCGAGGAAGGAAUGCGACGAGAACAGAAACAGAACUCAGGUUUUGGCUGAGGUUAUUCUAAACAUCAGAAUUUAUAAGUUUGCCAGUUACAAGUUUGGACCUAUUUUCUUUGCAUCUGAACCAGCCUGCAAGCAAAAGAUCAAGGCCGCACGUCAAUCUCCCAAGGAAGCUACUUGCAUUCUCCGCAGCUAGAAAGCUUUCAAAGCAACACGUAAGAGUUCAUACAUAUUUGUAAUAUAGUUAAUGAUACAGGUGUGGGCUGUCUCUGAGAGGCGCCACUGCCUCCUCCCAGACCUGCCGGGGAGGGCGACCGCGCUGCUGACACAGCAGCUCCCCGCACGCCUACGUGGGCAUACGGGACAGCUGAUAAUAUUCACGUCUAUAUUUGCGUUACAAAUUACACGCACAGGGUAGUUCCUUCUCUGCAUGGUAUCGUAACCCACUGGUGAACGCACGUUUCUGACACUCCUUUGCUUCCAGCCCACAGGGUAUCGCAGUCAUGUGGCCUUAUCCAUCUCACAGCGUAACCACUCACGCUUCCAGCGCUGCCCCAGGUCCCCUGCUCGCUUCUGCCUUUGCUGGCACACAAGCAGUAAUGGAUAAGGAUACACACCUAUUUUAUGCUUGUACCUGACCAUCCAGCUUAGCUGUUUUAGCUAAACUUGUUUGUUUCUUUUUUUUUUUUUUUUACAGAAAGAGUAAUAGUACAGAUUAAGUGAUUUUAAAAACUGUUUUCUGCAAGAAUCUUUAUCUUGAGGAUUGCUAUUACUAUGCUUAAUUAUCAUUUUCUCUAAGCUUAACAGGAAAAUAAGUAGGGUUUUUUUAGCCAACCCCCAAAAGUCAUUUUUUCUUCAAAUCUGUCUCUCCCUCUGCAGCACCACUAAACACUUCACAGAUACAGUUUCCUUUGAUAUCACAAUAGUGACAACACAUGCAUGUUCUGAAGAUUGGUUUAUUUAUAGUUUAUUUAUUUUUAAACCAAAUAGAACUGAAACAAGGAGCGUAAACCAAGGCUAACGUUUUCUCCCUCACAGAAAAAGAUAUAUCUAU